rnacentral:rRNA from 1 species
UACGGAGGGUGCAAGCGUUAUCCGGAUUCACUGGGUUUAAAGGGUGCGUAGGCGGGCAUUUAAGUCAGUGGUGAAAUACCUGAGCUUAACUUGGGAACUGCCAUUGAUACUAUUUGUCUUGAAUGUCGUGGAGGUUAGCGGAAUAUGUCAUGUAGCGGUGAAAUGCUUAGAUAUGACAUAGAACACCUAUUGCGAAGGCAGCUAACUACGCGAAUAUUGACGCCGAGGCACGAAAGCGUGGGGAUCAAACAGG